GAUUCAGAGGUUCAUCUGCAGCAGGUGUAGUCGUACUUGUCUUGUUCGUAAAUGAAGAUGUACCGUUAUCAUCAUCAGG
rnacentral:sRNA from 1 species